rnacentral:lncRNA from 1 species
AAAAAACUAGAAAUUGAGAUGUGGGGAACAAAAGCUAUAUAUAUCUGUAAUCUGUAUACCGUUGCUUAAUUUCCCUCUCCCCUCUUGGACGCAUCCGCAUCCCUCAAACCCUAGAUUUCAACUGUUUCAAUCUCUUCUCGGCAUUUAACUAUGGCAGACGAACAAAUACAAGAAUUUUUGAAAUUGCAACAAGAAGUUUCAUCAAAAAAGAUUGCUCUGGCGGCUGCUAAGAGACGUUUAAAGGAAUUGGAUAGUCAAGCGAGAAAGUGCAAAGCUGAAAAGCGAAGACUGAGGGAUGAAUUUUUCAAAGGCCGGUGUUGCUGUAGUAUAUAAUAGAGAAGACGUUCCAGCAGUUAAAGAAUUGGUGGAAACCUAUAACGUUGACUGUGUUUUUGUCCCAUUCACCGAUGAAAUUAAGAAGGAGAUGAGCAUGGGCGGAUCCACGAAUUGAGGUUAGGGGGGGCUGAAUUUAUUGAUCUACGACGUAUGUAGACAUUUACACGGGGG